rnacentral:rRNA from 1 species
CCUACGGGGGGCAGCAGUAGGGAAUCUUCCACAAUGGUCGAAAGCCUGAUGGAGCAACGCCGCGUGGGUGAAGAAGGUCUUCGGAUCGUAAAACCCUGUUGUUAGAGAAGAAAGUGCGUGAGAGUAACUGGUCACGUUUCGACGGUAUCUAACCAGAAAGCCACGGCUAACUACGUGCCAGGAGCCGCUGUAAUACGUAGGUGGCAAGCGUUAUCCGGAUUUAUUGGGCGUAAAGGGAACGCAGGCGGUCUUUUAAGUCUGAUGGGAAAGCCUUCGGCUUAACCGGAGUAGUGCAUUGGAAACUGGGAGACUUGAGUGCAGAAGAGGAGAGUGGAAUGCCAUGUGUAGCGGUGAAAUGCGUAGAUAUAUGGAAGAACACCAGUGGCGAAAGCGGCUCUCUGGUCUGUAACUGACGCUGAGGUUCGAAAGCGUGGGUAGCAAACAGGAUUAGAUACCCUUGUAGUC